rnacentral:rRNA from 1 species
AGAGUUUGAUCAUGGCUCAGAUUGAACGCUGGCGGUAGGCUUAACACAUGCAAGUCGAGCGGAAACGAUGUAGCUUGCUACAGGCGUCGAGCGGCGGACGGGUGAGUAACACGUAGGAACCUACCUAGUAGUUUGGGAUAGCCAUUGGAAACGAUGAUUAAUACCGGAUACGCCCCACGGGGGAAAGAGGGCUUCGGCUCUCGCUAUUAGAUGGGCCUGCGUAAGAUUAGCUAGUUGGUGAGGUAAUGGCUCACCAAGGCGACGAUCUUUAGCUGGUUUGAGAGGAUGAUCAGCCACACUGGGACUGAGACACGGCCCAGACUCCUACGGGAGGCAGCAGUGGGGAAUAUUGCACAAUGGGCGCAAGCCUGAUGCAGCCAUACCGCGUGUGUGAAGAAGGCCCUAGGGUUGUAAAGCACUUUCAGCGAGGAGGAAAGGUUAGUAGUUAAUACCUGCUAGCUAUGACGUUACUCGCAGAAGAAGGACCGGCUAACUCCGUGCCAGCAGCCGCGGUAAUACGGAGGGUCCGAGCGUUAAUCGGAAUUACUGGGCGUAAAGCGUACGUAGGUGGUUUGUUAAGUUGGAUGUGAAAGCCCAGGGCUCAACCUUGGAACUGCAUUCAAAACUGAUGAACUCGAGUAUGGUAGAGGUAAGUGGAAUUUCCUGUGUAGCGGUGAAAUGCGUAGAGAUGGGAAGGAACAUCAGUGGCGAAGGCGACUUACUGGACCAAUACUGACACUGAGGUACGAAAGCGUGGGUAGCAAACAGGAUUAGAUACCCUGGUAGUCCAUGCCGU